UACAGUGGCGACCGGGUGAGUAACACGUGACUAUCUACCCUUGAGUGGGGGAUAACCUCGGGAAACCGAGGCUAAUACCGCAUAAUAUCGAGAGAUCAAAGGAGCAAUUCGCUUUUGGAGGGGGUCGCGGCUGAUUAGUUAGUUGGAGGGGUAAUGGCCCACCAAGGCGAAGAUCGGUAUCCGGCCUGAGAGGGCGCACGGACACACUGGAACUGAAACACGGUCCAG
rnacentral:rRNA from 1 species